GCGAGACUGUGUCUGUGUGUUCAGCUUGAGUCUAUUGAGCCCAUUGGAUGGGACUGGGGUUUACAAAGACCAGGGGCACAUAGGAGCUUCCUCAGUAUCACAGGCUUUCACUUUCUUCUAGUGUUUCGGAUGGUGUCUGGGCAUUCUGAUGCUGCUGCAGGGCUUGGUAAAGAUGCUGGACUAGUCUGAGAACUCACAGUUGAAGACAUGUUCAUUAGACUGGGACGCCUGACCCCUGGAUACUUCCGUCUCCUCCAGAGACAGGUCUCAGGUGAAGUCCAGAUACAGCCGCAGAAAGGGUUCAUCAACCAGAUCGCCAUGACGAUGGCCAUGGUGGGCAUCAGUGUGUCCUUCUACAGCGCCCGGCGGAUGGCGAAGAAGUUCCAUCUGAAAGAGAAUGCUCCCUGAACAGUUGGACAGUGUGGCCCCUCAACUGGACCAGAGCGAUGGGGGAGAGAGAUGAAGAGAAUCAGAGUAGGCUGCAGUGCUGCACUCCAUCACCUUGCAUUGCAGCGGUUGGCACCUUCACUAGAAUUCAGGCCCACUCAAAGCUGCCAUGCCAAGAUGGUUCUGUGGGCUGAGUGUUUGUUGUUGUUGUUCGAGAGAAUGUCUGUGUUUGAUGGAAGAGGAUGGGUAUCAGGAGCGUUUUGUCUUGAGAGUGAGACCAUGCAGUCUUUAAUAAACAACUGCUGGGUUUGAAAUACGUUUAUCUUUGUAUUGUGAUGAUGGGAAAAUGUAAGUGUACUGUGGGGAAAUGCAAAUGUGAAUUACCAGUACUAAUGCCUAAUAGAUUAAAAUGACCUAACAACAUUUUUACCUAAAGACAUUUUGGAAGAUAUGAGGCGAUCUACACAUAUCUGCUUAUUUGAAAGAUUUCACCAUGUAGGCCUAGCAUACUUACUUAGGCUCCAUACUAGAAUGUCUUUUGAACAUAGCAUGAAUGCACAUCACAAAUGCGGGAUCCCAGUAAGCGUUUAGUGUUUGCUUUAGCGCUUUAUCAGUUGAACAUGGAUGCCAUGAUAAUACUCUAGCUCUGUGGUUCUGACAGAAUCGGUGGUCUCCUCAACGUAUGCCACUUCCAAACUGACUCUUAAUGACAUUUAUAUGUAUAUUUUAUUAACAUUUUAAAUACCAAAUAAAACUCACUAUUAACUCAAA